UGCAUAUCCAAAAAGCGGAGGAAAAGAAACUAACAAGGAUUCCCCUAGUAACUGCGAGUGAAGCGGGAAAAGCUCAAAUUUAAAAUCUGGUGGUCUUUGGCCAUCCGAGUUGUAAUCUAGAGAAGUGUUAUCCGCGCUGGACCGUGUACAAGUCCCCUGGAAUGGGGCGUCAUAGAGGGUGAGAAUCCCGUCUUUGACACGGACUACCAGGGCUUUGUGAUGCACUCUCAAAGAGUCGAGUUGUUUGGGAAUGCAGCUCAAAAUGGGUGGUAAAUUCCAUCUAAAGCUAAAUAUUGGCGAGAGACCGAUAGCGAACAAGUACCGUGAGGGAAAGAUGAAAAGAACUUUGGAAAGAGAGUUAAACAGUACGUGAAAUUGUUGAAAGGGAAACGCUUGAAGUCAGUCGCGUCUGCCAGGGAUCAACCUUACUUUUGUGAGGCGUACUUCCUGGUUGAUGGGUCAGCAUCAGUUUUGGUCGCUGGAUAAAGGUCAGAGAAAUGUGGCACCUUCGGGUGUGUUAUAGUCUUUGAUCAGAUACAGUGGCUGGGACUGAGGAACUCAGCGCCGCAAGGCUGUCUUAGGAUGCUGGCAAAAUGGCUUUAAUCGACCCGUCUUGAAACACGGCCAAAGGGAGUCA
rnacentral:rRNA from 2 species